rnacentral:rRNA from 1 species
ACUCCUACGGGAGGCAGCAGUGGGGAAUUUUGGACACUGGGCGAAAGCCUGAUCCAGCAAUGCCGCGUGAGUGAAGAAGGCCUUCGGGUUGUAAAGCUCUUUUGUCAGGGAAGAAACGGUGAAAGCUAAUAUCUUUUGCUAAUGACGGUACCUGAAGAAUAAGCACCGGCUAACUACGUGCCAGCAGCCGCGGUAAUACGUAGGGUGCAAGCGUUAAUCGGAAUUACUGGGCGUAAAGCGUGCGCAGGCGGUUUUGUAAGUCUGAUGUGAAAUCCCCGGGCUCAACCUGGGAAUUGCAUUGGAGACUGCAAGGCUAGAAUCUGGCAGAGGGGGGUAGAAUUCCACGUGUAGCAGUGAAAUGCGUAGAUAUGUGGAGGAACACCGAUGGCGAAGGCAGCCCCCUGGGUCAAGAUUGACGCUCAUGCACGAAAGCGUGGGGAGCAAACAGGAUUAGAUACCCCUGUAGUCCCA